rnacentral:rRNA from 1 species
GCGCAGCAGGCGAGAAAACUUCACACUGUGCGAAAGCACGAUGAGGGAAUCCCAAGUGCUUGCACGUAAGUGUAAGCUGUUUCUCUGUCUAAAACGCAGAGAGAGUAAGGGCUGGGUAAGACGGGUGCCAGCCGCCGCGGUAAUACCUGCAGCUCAAGUGGUGACCGUUAUUAUUGGGCCUAAAACGUCCGUAGCCGGUUUAAUAAAUGCCUGGGUAAAUUGUGUAGCUUAACUAUACGAAUUCCGGGUAGACUGUUAAACUUGAGACCGGGAGAAGUUAGAGGUACUCCUGGGGUAGAGGUGAAAUUCUGUAAUCCUAGGGGGACCACCAGUGGCGAAGGCGUCUAACUAGAACGGGUCUGACGGUGAGGGACGAAGCCCUGGGGCGCAAACGGGAUUAGAUACCCCGUAGU